UACGUAGGGUGCGAGCGUUAAUCGGAAUUACUGGGCGUAAAGCGUGCGCAGGCGGUUGUGCAAGACAGAUGUGAAAUCCCCCGGGCUCAACCUGGGAAUGGCAUUUGUGACUGCACGGCUAGAGUGUGUCAGAGGGGGGUAGAAUUCCACGUGUGAGCAGUGAAAUGCGUAGAGAUGUGGAGGAAUACCGAUGGCGAAGGCAGCCCCCUGGGAUAACACUGACGC
rnacentral:rRNA from 1 species